rnacentral:rRNA from 1 species
UACGAAGGGGGCUAGCGUUGCUCGGAAUCACUGGGCGUAAAGGGUGCGUAGGCGGGUUAUUAAGUCAGAGGUGAAAUCCUGGAGCUCAACUCCAGAACUGCCCUUGAUACUGAUAGUCUUGAGUAUGGGAGAGGUGAGUGGAACUGCGAGUGUAGAGGUGAAAUUCGUAGAUAUUCGUAAGAACACCAGUGGCGAAGGCGGCUCACUGGCCCAUAACUGACGCUGAGGCACGAAAGCGUGGGGAGCAAACAGG